rnacentral:rRNA from 1 species
GAUGAACGCUAGCGGCAGGCUUAAUACAUGCAAGUCGAACGGGAUUCGAGGUAGCAAUACUUUGAUGAGAGUGGCGCACGGGUGCGUAACGCGUAUGCAACCUACCUUUAACAGGUGAAUAGCCCCGAGAAAUCGGGAUUAAUACACCGUAACAUUGCGAUAUGGCAUCAUACUGCAAUUAAAGAUUUAUCGGUUAAAGAUGGGCAUGCGUGACAUUAGCUAGUUGGUGAGGUAAUGGCUCACCAAGGCAACGAUGUCUAGGGGUCCUGAGAGGGUUAUCCCCCANACUGGUACUGAGACACGGACCAGACUCCUACGGGAGCAGCAGUAAGGAUAUUGGUCAAUGGGCGCAAGCCUGAACCAGCCAUGCCGCGUGCAGGAAGACGGCCCUAUGGGUUGUAAACUGCUUUUGUCAGGGAUAAACCUUUGUACGUGAUACAGAGCUGAAGGUACCUGAAGAAUAAGCAUCGGCUAACUCCGUGCCAG